rnacentral:rRNA from 1 species
GACGAACGCUGGCGGUGUGCCUCAUACAUGCAAGUCGAACGAGAAGCAAGAGCUUGCUCUUGUGGAAAGUGGCGGACGGGUGAGUACAACAUAGGAAAUCUGCCUUAGGGUGGGGGGCAACAGAGGGAAACUUUUGCUAAUACCCCAUAUGAGCUUGGUUGCAAUACCAAUCUUGAAAGUUCCGGCGCCCUAAGAUGAGCCUGUGCCUGAUUAGCUAGUUGGUGGUGUAAUGGACUACCAAGGCGACGAUCAGUAGCUGGUUUGAGAGGAUGAUCAGCCACAAUGGGACUGAGACACGGCCCAU